rnacentral:rRNA from 1 species
CAAAUGAAUUGACGGGGCCGCACAAGCGGCGGAGCAUGCGGAUUAAUUCGAUGCAACGCGAAGAACCUUACCAAGGCUUGACAUACACCGGUAACGCCCAGAGAUGGGUGCCCCUUUGUGGUCGGUGGACAGGUGGUGCAUGGUUGUCGUCAGCUCGUGUCGUGAGAUGUUGGGUUAAGUCCCGCAACGAGCGCAACCCUCGUCCUAUGUUGCCAGCGGGUCAUGCCGGGGACUCAUGGGAGACUGCCGGGGUCAACUCGGAGGAAGGUGGGGAUGACGUCAAAUCAUCAUGCCCCUUAUGUCUUGGGCUUCACGCAUGCUACAAUGGCCGGUACAAAGGGCUGCGAUACCGCGAGGUGGAGCGAAUCCCAGAAAGCCGGUCUCAGUUCGGAUUGGGGUCUGCAACUCGACCCCAUGAAGUCGGAGUCGCUAGUAAUCGCGGAUCAGCCAUGCCGCGGUGAAUACGUUCCCGGGCCUU